AGAUUGAACGCUGGCGGCAUGCUUUACACAUGCAAGUCGAACGGCAGCACAAAAACAACCCUGGUGGCGAGUGGCGAACGGGUGAGUAAUGCAUCGGAACGUAUCCUUAAGUGGGGGAUAACGCAUCGAAAGAUGCGCUAAUACCGCAUAAUCUCUGAGGAGAAAAGCAGAAGAUCGCAAGGCCUUGCGUCUUUUGGAGCGGCCGAUGUCUGAUUAGCUAGUUGGUGAGGUAAAGGCUUACCAAGGCUUCGAUCAGUAGCUGGUCUGAGAAGACGACCAGCCACACUAGGACUGAGACACGGCCCAGACUCCGUACGGGAGGCAGCAGGUAGGGGAACUUUUGGAACGAAGUGGGGGCCGAACCC
rnacentral:rRNA from 1 species